rnacentral:piRNA from 1 species
UACAUGACCAGAUAGACAAAUUAGCAUG